UCCAGACUCCUACGGGAGGCAGCAGUGGGGAAUAUUGCACAAUGGGGGAAACCCUGAUGCAGCAACGCCGCGUGAGUGAAGAAGUAUUUCGGUAUGUAAAGCUCUCUCAGCAGGGAAGAAGAAAGACGGUACCUGACUAAGAAGCCCCGGCUAACUACGUGCCAGCAGCCGCGGUAAUACGUAGGGGGCAAGCGUUAUCCGGAUUUACUGGGUGUAAAGGGAGCGUAGACGGCGGUGCAAGCCAGAUGUGAAAGCCCGGGGCUCAACCCCGGGACUGCAUUUGGAACUGUGCUGCUAGAGUAUCGGAGAGGCAGGCGGAAUUCCUAGUGUAGCGGUGAAAUGCGUAGAUAUCAGGAGGAACACCGGUGGCGAAGGCGGCCUGCUGGACUGCGACUGACGUUGAGGCCCGAAAGCGUGGGGAGCAAACAGGAUUAGAUACCCGUGUACG
rnacentral:rRNA from 1 species